rnacentral:piRNA from 1 species
UGACUCGAUAUGAUGGCACUACAAGCUCUGU